GCGAAAGAGAAAAAAGAAUACAACUCAAUUAAAUGUAAUGUGGAAGAAAAAGUCAAUAUUUUUCAUGCUACCAUAUUGGAAGAUAACUCUAAUCAUAAUUUUUCUGGUUUGCUAAAUACUUCUAAUGGCUUGUAGUAUAUCAUCGCACAAUUAAUGUUUAAUUUGCAAACUUUACGUGUACGUCAUAAUUUGGAUGUGAUGCAUGUGAAAAAGAACAUUUGCGAGAGCAUCAUUAAUACACUUUUGGACGUGAAAGGAAAAUCUAAAGAUGGUAUUAACUCUCGUAAAGACUUGGAAGCGAUGAAUAUUAAGCAUGAUUUACAUGCUGAGAGAAGAGGAAAUAAAUUCUACUUACCUGCUGCCUAUCACACUUUAUUAAAAGCAGAAAAAUAAAUGUUUUGCAUGAAACUUGCUAAUAUGGGAUUGCCCGAUGGUUAUGGUUCUAAUAUCGAAAAUUGCAUUUCAGUGAAGUGAAAAAAUGUAAGAUAGCUGGAUUCAAGUUUCGUGAUUGUCACAUUUUAAUGCAACAAUUACUACCAGUUACAUUGAGAUGACUUCUACCUAAAGGAUCAGAGAACUCCAUUUUUAAAUUGUGUUCAUUUUUCAAUGAAACAUGUCAAGGGGUUGCAAAUAGGAAUAAUGUUGAAAGUUUGGAAAAAGACGUUUCUGAAACUUUAUGCAUGUUGGAAAGGUAUUUUCUACCUUCCUUUUUUGAUAUUAUGGUUCAUUUCACAAUCCAUAUUGGGAGAGAAGUUCGUCUAUGCGGACCAAUCCAAUAUUGUUGGAUGUACCCAUUUGAGAGGUAAUAUUCCUUUAAGUUAUACCCAAAUGUGAAAUUUAUUUUCAAUUUUGUUUUAUAUUUUAUACUAUUUUUCAGUAAAUAUGUAGGUAUAUGAAACAGUUGAGAUGAUAUGUUAUGAAUCCUGCACGACCUAAAGGGUGUGUAGCUGAAUGAUACAUUAUUGAAGAAAAUACGAUGUUUUGUAGUAGUUACAUAAAACAGGCAUAUGAAAUAGGCAUUAGGCCUGCACACAACGAAGAAUAUGAGAGUAACUUCUUGGUUGUAGGGCGCACAAUUUCUAAAAGGAAGCCAAUUGUACUUCUAGAUGAGAUGUUGAAAGUUGCCAAACGCUAUGUGUUGCUAAUAGUACUGAAGUGGCACCCUACAUAUAGUAUGUUUGUGAAAUACCUACGUUGUUAGAUUUUAAGUUCUUAGACCAUAUUAAUUUAUUUUAUCUUGUUUUCCACUUAGGAUGUAUAUGAAUGAACUCAAGAGUUUUGACAAACAACUUGAAAGAAAUGAGAAUUUAUUGCAAAAGAGACACACUGACUCUUUUGCUGCUUGGCUGAAUGAUAAGGUUGACAUAUAUAUAAGAAAUUCAACGUGUUUAAUUAUGUUUUUGUUUCUUCUAUUCCUAGCAUGUUUAUGAUAAAAACAGAUCAAAGGUCAACUGUUGCUGGACAAUGUUUCAAAUGCUUUAAAGUGGCUAGUGUGUGGUCCUAGAUGCCAGUCAAUGUCAUAUUCUAGUUUUGUAAUAAAUGGUCUUCAGUUUCACACGAAAAAUGCAGAAAAGUCUCGACAAAACGGUGGCAUUUCAGUUGAAGCGACAACCAUUUGUAGAUAUACUACAAAAGAUAAUGCACAUGUUGUUCGAAAGGUUCUUUAUUAUGGAGUUCUACAUGAUAUUAUAGUGCUUGAUUACAAUGCAUUUCAUAUUCUACUAUUAAAAUGUGAUUGGACAAAUAUCGUGAAUGGAAUAAAAAAAUGAGGAUGGAUUUACUUUGGUUAAUCUUAAUGAGGGAUAUAGACAAUUUGAAAACGAUCAUUUCAUUUUGACAUCACAGGCAAAACAAGUGUUCUAUUCUAGGGAGAGUGAAACAUCUAAUUGGUAUGUUGCUUUGCAAGCGUCACCAAGAGACUUUCACACUUACCUAUGGAAGAAGAUACUUCUCACUAGGCAACUAUUCCAUUAGAUAUAAUACAACUCGAAGACAAUUAGGAUGAGGAUGAGAAUUAUGCAAGGAUAUAUGUCGACGGCGUAUUAUGUGAUACAUAUCUCAAUUAGUUUGGUAAAUAUCCUCAUAAAAAUCACAUGCUUUAAGUUGACAUUGUAGAUAAAGUGUUUUUGGUGUAUUGAUUAAUCUUUUGAAUUUUAUUUUAAUGUUUGAUAAUCGUACUGGCAGAUUUUGUUAUAGUGAUUAAUUAAUUUGGUAAAUCUCUCUCUCUCUUUUUGUUUGCAGCUUUCCAUUAUCUUUGAAGUGAUUUGUUUCGAACCAGCUGACUGUAAUACACUUUAUAGGAUAGAAGGAGCUCAGGUUAGUGUGUUUUUUAUACUUCUUAAGUUAUCUAUUAACUUUCGAGAAUAAUUAUAUUUAUAUUUGGUUUUCACAUUGCAUUCUUUAAGUCGACCAAGCAAGCUUCGAAGAGCUGCAAUUGUUGUUACAGUUCGAGAAAUCAAUAAAAGACUAAGACUUUCGAGUGAACCUUAAAAUACUUUAUCAAUUCCAAUUACUAAUGAGCAAAACAUGCUGCCGACAAAUAUAAAUGCUCCAAAAAGGAAAAGAGGUCCAACCCAAGUGAAAUAGUACUUAGCUCGAAUUUAAUGAAUUCGAGCAAGUAGUUGGCACUAACUCUGAUAAAGUUGCUAGUAUAGUUGGAGACAUGAUACGAGAACAUGUGUCUCUUGUAAUUAAGGAUUGGCAGUUGUUAGGUGACAUGAAAAAAAAGGAACUUUGGACUUUCAUAAAG
rnacentral:lncRNA from 1 species